AGGCACUCGUGGAGAGAAGAAAGGAGUGGAAGAUAGAGGAGAGAAGAAAGCAGGGCUUGGACAGAUAAGGCCAGAGGGGAUUUCCCCCUUCCCAAGUUGCUCCCAGCCACCAAAGAGUUUCCGGGCCUCACAAAGGCUUUUCCCAGCUCACCAGCCUGUCUGACCACAGCCUAACAGUGAGAUCCAGAACAGAUACAUCCUUAAAGCACUUAGGCUUACUGCAAAAGGCCAGCAUAGUUGUGGAAAGAGUCCAGUUUAUUUGGGCUAGGGUCUAUGGGCUGCGAUUUUCUCACACUUGAUUUUAGCCUACAGGCUGAGAAUUGACUAGGUUGUGAUUUCUUAACUGAAUUUUGUUGGGAGCUCUGACUCUGAAUUUGAGUGCCACUGGCUGCUGCAUCUACUUUGUAUCAACUCCAGGUGCUCCUCCCACAUCUAAGUCUGAGGUUUAAGAAGUACAGUAAAGCUGCUAUGAAUUCCCAGCUAUGGGAAUUUUCCUCAAAGCUUCAUUGUCUAAACUCUGAACCUCAUCAUAACCUCAGUUCUGCCUAGCUCCAUAACUAGUAGGUUUCACAAUUUGAUGUCCUCUUGCUGUGCUGACCCACUUGGAACUGGCCAUUCAGCAAGAUCCUAGAAUCUGGGGAUCAGAGACUACAACCCGGAAGGGACCAGGCUCAGAGCCCUGUGGGGUACUAGGCAGGAGGCUCUGACAUUCUGCCACCAACACACAGGAAGCAAACAGGUUUUUUUCUACUGGUGUUGGUGUACUUUGUGCUCAGAGAAUAGAAUAUCCCAGGGGAGUGUCAAACCAUGAGAAAAGGAAAGGUUACCAAGCAACGGCUUCAGGCAAAUCACCUCAGAUCUGCUCUCCAUUCCCCCAGGGUUGUGGGGGUCCGAAGCACAAGCAGAUGUCUGGAGGGAGCUAUUACUCACAUCCUCCCCUUCUUAAUUUCCCCUUCUUAAUUUCGCUCGGUGGCAGUAGCAGCAGUCACAGACCAAUCUCUAUCACUUCAGGAAAGAAGGGGGCAGAAACAGCCACCCUCCUCCUAACUUUGGACAGAGCUUACUCCAGAAGACAGUCUUGGAGUAGAACACCAUGGACCAAGUACUUGCCGAGCAUGCCCACUGCCCUCGAUUGUACAUGUGCAAAUACUUUCUUUGCCUAUUCAGAAAUUAGCAGAAACUGUUGAAUAAAGGGAUAAAGGAGGUGAGAAUACUGGUCCUUUAUCAGAGAAUGAAAUAAGCAAAAAGACAAAAUCAGAAAAGUAGAAAAGCAGAAAAUGACUGUGUUCCUUUGUUCUUGCCUCUUUUUUCCCCCCAAAAAGGGAGGAUGCACCACUCUCUCCAUUUUCUAAGAAAAGAAGUAAAAACUGAGCGGAUAACUCAUGUGCCUUCUAAGGAUAGUGCCAGCAAGAAUAGAACGCAGACCUCUUUCUCUGAAAUUUUGAUUUGCAUGAAUUCCUCAUCUUCACCUUGAGAAAGGUUCUCUUUCCCAUCUAAGCCUCAGAGUAAGAUACGUUUGGGCUCUGAUUUUUGCAUAGCAUCUGUUCCUAAGUGAGAAUGGCCACUGGAGUUUGGAAACCAGAAAGCAAGAGAAAUGGUGUCAAGGGACACAAAACUGUUUAAAAAGGGAAAAACCACCAAAUCUCUCCCUCAAUCUCUCUCUCUGCUCUCACACACACAGAUGCUCAAUAUUGGCAAUGUUAAUAUAUCUUCUGAAGAGACAGAAAUGAAUAAACCUAACAGAAUUCAUCUUUGGGGAAAAACAGAUGGUUAUAUAAUAUGGCUUUUGAGUGAGAAGAAUUCCUAGAAAGAAAAAAAAAUCAAUUGACAAUGCAAAUUAAUUAUUGCCACUCACUGCCUUUUUUUCUUUGCACAGAAGAUAAUUAAGAUGACACCAAGAAAAACUGCGGGUUCACAGAAAUCAGACCUAACAAGUCAAACAGGUUCCUCCUAUGUAAAACCAGAGCUAUUGGUGUCCUCUCCCCACCCCCAACCCCCCACCAUUCUAUCUUUCUUCACUUCCUUCAGCAGCCAUUUCUGCUGGGUGAUGCUGAGCUUUUUGUUGAGUCAGCCUGGCAUAUCUUUCAUUUGGCAGGCUUCUGACAGGCGGGAUUGACAGAUCUUUGAGACUCACUCCCAUCCAUCAGCCUGAGAGGCUUCACAGGGGUAGCCUUCAGUGCCUGUAACAGCACUUCCCCAGGGCCUGGCACACCAGCCAGGCUAAUAUCAGGGAAAAGAGCACGCGGCAAUUUGCCAGGCAUUGCCCUGCAUCCUCAUGCACUCACUUGCCAGGGUAAGUGGGGAAUGCUCAAGGCCUCCUGUUGUAAUCUGGAGGAGGCCAACCUCAGCUUAGUUCACAUUUGCAGUGUGCACAAACACAUUCAUACACACAUGGGUGAGCACAUACAUAGGCAUGCACAGGUGUGCAUGUGACAAAGUGAGCUUAAAAACAAUAAAUUUUACAUAUUUCUCUUGUUUUUUUCUUAUUUCUUUAGCAGAAAAGAAUGCUAUCAGUCUCCUUAGAUGGAAGUGCCUAUGACAAUUGCCACGCUUUCCUUUUUCAGUCACCCGCAGAGAAAGUCUAUUCUUUGGAUUCACACUCUCAGCACAAGAUGCACAAAUGACCAUUCCAGAAAAGUGAUCAGGAGAAAUGUGUGGGGAAAUAAUACUGUUUUUUAGUUCAACCUCAGUGAAUAAUGUUUCUUCACACUGCAAAUGUGGGUUAACAUGCCAGUAUUUAUCUGCUAGACCCUGUGAAAUUGCCUCCCACCCACUCCCUAUUCCUGGGUUUCAGAUUCUCAUUUCCACAAAAAUCUGCAGGUUAAACUGUUUGUGACAUGGAAGAAUAAUAUUAAGGUGCAAAUUAAAUCUCAAUGGUUUGUUGAAACAUUGAUACUUGGUAAACAUGUAUUUGUGGAGGACUUCAAGUUUUUUUCACUUCAAAUCCAAGUGAGAUUUAAAAAAUAAUCCCCAUUGUUUAUUGUCAGAAAGUCAUUGGCCAUUUAUUAAAGAAGCUGAUGCAAGAAAAUGACAUUUGCUCUACUCCGAUGUCAACCAACGGAAGCAAAGUCCACUAUUUGACCUCUGGGUGUCCUGUUAUUUAACAAAGAUUUCUGGUGCCUUUCUUUAGGAAGGUGAACAUAUCUACUAGCAGAACGUAGGUAUUAAAUCUAGUGGUCCUUUGAUAGUAAGAAUCACCCAGGUGUUUGUUAAAUAUACAGAUUAACAGUGUUCUUCAAUGACAUUUCCCAUUCAAAUAGUGUGUAUCUAGAGCCCCAGGCACCUAAAUUUUUAACAAGCUCUUUAGAUGAAGCUAAGUAACUUGCUUAGUAUCACAUUGCUGGCUAGAAGUCAAACUGGGGCUAGAUCCAGGUUUUUUGACUUUUAGACCAACAGUAUGGACAAUUCUGUGCUGUAUCAAUUUUAUCGUGGAAAAAUAGCAAAGCUGUCAGGCAAAGAAAUACAGGAUGGUAUACCUUUAAGGCAGCUAUAUUUACAUGAAGCUUAGGUGGCAGUGGAACUUGAGAGUAUUACUGAGCCACCACUUAAGGUUCUAGUUUUGAAGAACAUAUGCUAUCCUUCUAAUUUUAGUAACUAUUUUUAACUUCCUAAGUUUGUGAUAAAACUAGGCUAUCCCUUUAUCCCCCAAGUGCAAUGGUCAGGAUUUCACAGUCCCGUCAUCACAAAAUGUUCAGAAAUCCAGCCUAUUCUACUUCAAAUCUCCAUUUCUUCUUUGUCCCACUUUCUAGGUUCUCUGAGAGUUCAUAGGUAUCUCAAAGGAAGGAGUCUAGUUUACUGUAUGCCGGUAGGGAAAACAUAUCCAUGCCCCCGCCCUCGUAGUAUCUACAAGUCCAGGACAGAGUCUUGCUUUCAUCACAGUGACAAUUCAAGGGUGAUCUGGGCCAUUUCCUCAGUGUUACCCAUAAUAAAAGAGGCUCCCAGCCCUUCUGGCUAUGGCUUUUUGGGUUGAAGUCCAUGUGAUUUCCUCUGCCAGACCCUGGACUGUCCCAGGAUGGUUGUGGGCAGCAUCUGGAUGGAGCCGGGUAGCAGAGAUGGACUCUAGGACACCCCACAAUGAAAUAUAUUUUAAGGUCAGCUCAGAAAUAGAAGUGUUUUUAUAAAUUUCUUUUCAAAUCUCAGUUUUAGUUCUAGCUUCUUGCAAUAAAAUUCCCUACUCCUAGGACUUCUAGUCAGUAUCAAUUUCAUAUAAGAAGUCUCAGCCUAUUUCUUAUAUGUAUAUUCUAUUCUUCAUCUGAACUUGAGAUGCUCCCAAACGAUGCCCAAAUUUGGUACAGUUAAAUGAAGUCAAGCAGGAGGAAUUCUCAAAAAAAUCAUUUUAUCCAAAAUAGCAGUAAGUCUCAUAUUGGAAGGUCACCAGCAAAGACUAUCAAAAAAACAGAAUUUUAAAAUUCUUAGUUAGGACCUACAUGAUAUGCUUUAGCGGCACCAAAAUUUAUUCCUGAAGCUAAACUAUUAUUUUGUGUGACUGUUCUGCAACCAGUCAUGAACUUCUUGGGGACAGAGACUGUUUGUUAUUCAUUAUGUGUCCUCAGCACUUAGCCCACUGACAGGCAUAUAGUGAAAUUUUAACACAUGUAUACCGAAAAAAUAGAUUGCGAAAAGUUGUCUUUUCUGAAUUGUGCUGGAUGCAAGUUCAGAGAAAGCAAAGGCAAAAGCCAAAAGCACACACUAUUGCUGACUUUUGAAAGUAAUGGG
rnacentral:lncRNA from 1 species